GCCGGUCCUCGGUAGUGGCCCCCGGAUCACCGAACCCCGGGUGCUUCGAUCGAAGACCGGC
rfam:Streptomyces varsoviensis strain NRRL B-3589 P027contig3.7, whole genome shotgun sequence.